UCCCUCAUCAUUCCUAUCAUAUUUCUCCCAAAAUCUGAAAAUCCCAAAUUGCAAGGAAGGAGCAGCGGCGCCUCUUCUUCACGCCACUCCAUCUCUCCUCAAUCGAUUCUGCCGCCAAUACUCCACCGCCGUCGGCCGUCCAUCACCGAUCGAAUCGCCGGCGCUCCCUAUCGCCGGUGAUUCCCAUCGGUCUUCUCCCCCCCUCUCUCUCUCUGUUUCUCUCGCUCACCGUCGAGCUUCCUCUCUCUCUCGGCGACUCCGCAGCCAUGGUCGACUAGACAGACGCUGCUGGCCCAAGCAAAAAGUGGAGGUCAUGUACACAUGGCACAAUCCUAUUGGUGGAAUGACAACUCAUGCUAUCUCUAGUAGACUACAAAUUGACCUCUUGGCAUAGAGUGGUGUAUGGAAUCGAGAUGGGUGUGGAGGAAAUCCUCAAGGAUUUGUGUAGUUCAUGGUAAUUGUUUCCUUGCCCCUUUAUAGCUCUCUAUGUAGGAUAGCUUUUGUAAAGUAGAUAAAUCUUCUUCCCCAAAAUUCUUAUGUAACCUUUUUCAUGAAAGAUGGACUUCUUCCUUGUAAA